rnacentral:rRNA from 1 species
AUUGAACGCUGGCGGCAUGCCUUACACAUGCAAGUCGAACGGCAGCACGGGGCAACCUGGUGGCGAGUGGCGAACGGGUGAGUAAUGCAUCGGAACGUACCUUUCAGUGGGGGAUAACGUAGCGAAAGUUACGCUAAUACCGCAUAUUCUGUGAGCAAGAAAGCAGGGGAUCGCAAGACCUUGCGCUGAUUGAGCGGCCGAUGUCGGAUUAGCUAGUUGGGGAGGUAAAGGCUCACCAAGGCGACGAUCUGUAGCGGGUCUGAGAGGAUGAUCCGCCACACUGGAGCGGAGACACGGUCCAGACUCCUACGGGAGGCAGCAGUGGGGAAUUUUGGACAAUGGGGGCAACCCUGAUCCAGCCAUGCCGCGUGAGUGAAGAAGGCCUUCGGGUUGUAAAGCUCUUUCGGCCGGGAAGAAAUCGCACGGGCUAAUACCCUGUGUGGAUGACGGUACCGGAAUAAGAAGCACCGGCUAACUACGUGCCAGCCGCCGCAGUAAAAC